AAGACCACACUUUCAGGGAUCAUUUCUAUAGUUUGCUGCUAGAGAAGUUUCUCUGAGCGUGUAGAGCACCCAAAACCACGAGGAGGAGAUGGGGUGUUCUCCUGAGCUUGAAGUCAGUUCUCGGUGUUGCUUUGGUGACUGCCAUUUGCCAUUGAUGGCCAUUCUUCUCUCUCUCUCCCGGGGGAAUCACAGGGAGAGAACACCGUCUGAGUGGU